UACUCAGUAUUGUGUGGUAGGAGAACAUUCUUUCCACUUGUAAAUGAAUAGGAGACCUGACACAAUCAUUAUCCGAAUUUCAGCCUUGAAAGUAUGCUGGUUUCAUGUUUUCCAUUUCCUCUGACCUUUUCCCUUCCAUCAGAGCUAUAAUUGGCAGUGGAGAACACCAGUGAGCGGUGUGUUCAGGCACGUGCCAGUUAUCUCACGGAAGAUAGGACCAAGGUCAUAACACAUCCACUCUUCUCCUUUGGUGACCUGAAGAAGGUUUGUUUCUUGACCUUGAUCUCAUCCAGGAUAGUACGUUAUAUUUAGUCAUCAUGUCUCCUUAGGCACUUCCUGUCUUUGAUGUUUUGUUGGAGUUCCCUGUUUUGAUGACCUUGACAGUUUUGAAAAGCACUCGUCAGAUAGAAGAAUGUGAUGGAGCUUCAUACCUGUUACCCAAGGUUGAGUUCGGCUGUCUCCUAGCCCUAAGAUGUACCCAUCCAAUCUUGGGAGAGAAGCAAGAGGCGAUGGCUUUGCUGAAACAGACUUAGCUUUUUCUACUUACGGCAAAGAAGAUUCAGCCUGGGUAUACCUGGGAAUGUGCCAUAUACGAGUAAUGUAUUAACUUAACUAUGUCUAUCGGAAAUGUGGCCCCAUAUCAGGGCCACCACACCCAUUGUAGUCCACGGGUAAUGAUAUCUCUUGGGGGUUGUGCACUGCACAGCCUGCAAGGCUAUAUGCAGAGUCUUAAACCAUGUGUUGUUUACCUAAGAAUAACCAGGGGGCCUGUUCUAGAACUCAAAUUUAAGCAAAGAGACUGAUUUUACUAUAGUUCAAUAUACAAUAAGUUAGUUCACCAACUAUAUUACAAAACUGCCCAAGAUAUCUUUAUUGUACUUUUAUUUGGGCACUUUAAUUCACAAAUAAUUCU